rnacentral:lncRNA from 1 species
GGAGGUGCUGGAUCAUGAGACUUCCCAGCGCUUACUAGCCCGAAAUGGCUGGCACACCGGGUGUGAUUUGCGAGCGGUUUGUAGAUUUGUUUUCCGGGAUUCUUCAGUCGGAUACAUAAUAUUUUCUCUGCCAGUCUGUUGCUGCCACCCUAGGGAUUUUCUGCUGUUUGAGAUUUGUGAUGUACAUUUGUCUGUUAUAUAGGUGGUCAGUGGUUAUCUGUGCUCUUUUUAUUGGAAGUGCAUAUCGGAAAUGUCCAAAACUCGAGGCGUCUUUUGGAACUAGAUUAAAUGCAACAUGCUCAUAACUUCUUUAUUUGGUGCUCCGUGUGGUCACCCGUGCUAGUAUCUAGAAUCAGUUUGGCUAAUUCACAUCUAGAUGUUUUCGAAGGAUGUCACAUCUAAACUUCCGCAAAUAACGCAGCAACAAGGAACAAAAAAAACUGGAACAAAAAAAAAUAGACCAUAAACAUAGUGGACAUCAGGUUAAAUAUGACAUAGAUUGGCAGAACUAUGUCACAUAUAGAUGUGUCCUAGAUAGACCCAUCUAGAAUCUUGACAGAAUCUCAGCAAUGUCAAUUUUUUCGCAUCUAAUCUCAAGAUGGAUGGCAUGAUGGGAAAUUCGGAACCGGCUGUCCAAACACUUAUAGCUUUUGAGUGGGGAACAAUUCUUUUGAUUCAAAAAACUUGGAGAUACACCUCGACAAAAGGAAGGGUGGCAUGGCAUAUAGCUCGACAGCUCGUGAGUACAGAAAAAGAAAGUGGGAGCACCUACUCAUCAGGUGCCUGAAAAGAGUGUUUGCAUUAGUCACUUUGUUUCCCGUCCGUUAGAUCGAAAUCCAACAGUCCACAUCCCCCCUUCCUCCUCAAGCAUGACUCGUUCACGUUCUUCCUCACGUAGCUGCCCUUUGACCCAGCCCUAACCGUUUGCUAUCGCUGCCCCGGUCAUCCCUCUACCCGCCGACCCCCCGUACCUCCCUCCCCAUUAAGUUUUUUUCUCGCCUCUACCUGGGACGUACAACGGCUCGCUGUUGCUUGCAUCGUCGUCCUCGGCUCCGAUAAGGUCCCGGCUCAGCCUCGGUGUGGUUGACGCUUGUCACUGCCGCUCCUCACGUCAUCCCCACCUUUGACCUCAUGCAAAGCGGAAAUCGACUCGCACGGGAAAAAAAUCAGGCACCUAACAGUUAACAAACCAAAAAAAAACACG